rnacentral:rRNA from 1 species
GCCGACCUCAGAUCAG